AAAAAAAGCACACUUGCAGCGCCAUCCCUAUUUUCGAUCAUUUAUCAGGAAAAAAAAUGUGAGACGCAAGCUGUUUGGUUUAUUAUGCCAACUAUUUUAAAUCUGCACAUUGAAGUGCGAGAACAGUGUUUUGGCUUUGAUAGGCGGCUCCAUUUAUGUUUGAGACCAAUAGCAUAUUCUCAUCUAUAUCUAAGCACAAGCAGGAGGCACAUUCAGGGAGUGUCAUAUCCGCAUUGUGUUAUCAGUGGUUGGCAGCCUAGCCUGCUUUCUAAAGACCACAGGGACCACCAGGAUGAAGCUUGCUCUCCGGGCUCUGCAAGAGGACGGAGCUGACUGAGUCUAGAUUGUCAUAGCUACUGCAUCCCAGCGGGCCUGUCCGUGUCUCCGUCACCUGUUCCAUGACAGAAAUAGAAAACAACUUUGUAUUGAUGCAUAUCAUUUUGUCCAUGUACUUUUACCACAUGUUGCAGAAUGUGUAUGUGUCAUGAAGGUGUGAGGUUCACCAGUAGUCAGUCUUAAAAAAAAAAAAGGAUUUAUUGAACCUCUUGUGAUGA